CGUUGGGUGGCUCAGUUGGUAGAGCAGGCGCACCAUGUGCAGAGGCUAUAGCCCUGGACGUGGUUAUCCUGGCUUCGAUUCCCAGUCUCAGGA